rnacentral:rRNA from 1 species
UGGAGGAAAGCAGGGGAUCGUAAGACCUUGCGCUUUUGGAGCGGCCGAUGUCUGAUUAGCUAGUUGGUGGGGUAAUGGCCUACCAAAGCUUCGAUCAGUAGCUGGUCUGAGGGGACGGCCAGCCACACUGGGACUGAGACACGGCCCAGACUCCUACGGGAGGCAGCAGUGGGGAAUUUUGGACAAUGGGCGAAAGCCUGAUCCAGCAAUGCCGCGUGAGUGAAGAAGGCCUUCGGGUUGUAAAGCUCUUUCAGUCGAGAAGAAAAGGUCGCGACUAAUAAUCGCAACUUAUGACGGUAUCGACAGAAGAAGCACCGGCUAACUACGUGCCAGCAGCCGCGGUAAUACGUAGGGUGCGAGCGUUAAUCGGAAUUACUGGGCGUAAAGGGUGCGCAGGCGGCUCUGUAAGUCAGAUGUGA